rnacentral:rRNA from 1 species
AGCGAACGCUGGCGGCAGGCUUAACACAUGCAAGCCGAACGGGCGUAGCAAUACGUCAGUGGCAGACGGGUGAGUAACGCGUGGGAACGUACCUUUUGGUUCGGAACAACCCAGGGAAACUUGGGCUAAUACCGGAUAAGCCCUUACGGGGAAAGAUUUAUCGCCGAAAGAUCGGCCCGCGUCUGAUUAGCUAGUUGGUGUGGUAACGGCGCACCAAGGCGACGAUCAGUAGCUGGUCUGAGAGGAUGAUCAGCCACAUUGGGACUGAGACACGGCCCAAACUCCUACGGGAGGCAGCAGUGGGGAAUAUUGGACAAUGGGCGCAAGCCUGAUCCAGCCAUGCCGCGUGAGUGAUGAAGGCCCUAGGGUUGUAAAGCUCUUUUGUGCGGGAAGAUAAUGACGGUACCGCAAGAAUAAGCCCCGCUAACUUCGUGCCAGCAGCCGCCGUAAUACCUGAGACCGC